GCUACCGCUAUUGGAGUUCGAUUAAGCCAUGCGAGUCGAGAGUCCUCGGGACUCGGCGUACCGCUCAGUAACACGUGGGUAACCUGCCCUAUGCUGGGGAAUAACCUCGGGAAACUGAGAAUAAUGCCCCAUAGCCCACUACGCCUGGAACGGUGAGUGGGUCAAAGCUCCGGCGGCAUAGGAUGGGCCUGCGCCGUAUCAGGUUGUAGGGGGUGUAAAGUACCCUCUAGCCAUCAACGCGUACGGGUGUUGGGAGACAUUGCCCGGAGAUGGAUUCUGAGACACGAAUCCAGACCCUACGGGGUGCAGCAGGCGCGAAAACUUGGCAAUGCGAGAAAUCGUGACCAGGGAACUCCAAGUGCGUAGGGUAAGACCUACGCUUUUCUUGACUCUUCAAAGGUCUUGGAAUAAGGGGUGGGUAAGGACGGUGCCAGCCGCCGCGGUAAUACCGGCGCCUCAAGUGGUAGUCGCUUUUAUUGGGCCUAAAACGUCCGUAGCCGGUCUGGUGCAUUCGUGGGUAAAUCAACCCGCUCAACGGGUUGAAUUCUGCGAGCACGGCCAGACUUGGGACCGGGAGAGGUGUGGGGUACUCUCAGGGUAGGGGUAAAAUCCUGUCAUCCUGAGAGGACCACCUGUUGCGAAGGCGCCACACUAGAACGGAUCCGACGGUCAGGGACGAAACCUAGGGGCACGAACCGGAUUAGAUACCCGGGUAGUCCUAGGUGUAAACGCUGUGGACUU
rnacentral:rRNA from 1 species